CAGGCCUAACACAUGCAAGUCGAACGAAGGCUUCGGCCUUAGUGGCGCACGGGUGCGUAACGCGUGGGAAUCUGCCCCUUGGUUCGGAAUAACAGCGAGAAAUUGCUGCUAAUACCGGAUAACGACGUAAGUCCAAAGAUUUAUCGCCGAGGGAUGAGCCCGCGUAGGAUUAGCUAGUUGGUGUGGUAAAGGCGCACCAAGGCGACGAUCCUUAGCUGGUCUGAGAGGAUGAUCAGCCACACUGGGACUGAGACACGGCCCAGACUCCUACGGGAGGCAGCAGUGGGGAAUAUUGGACAAUGGGCGAAAGCCUGAUCCAGCAAUGCCGCGUGAGUGAUGAAGGCCUUAGGGUUGUAAAGCUCUUUUACCCGGGAUGAUAAUGACAGUACCGGGAGAAUAAGCUCCGGCUAACUCCGUGCCAGCAGCCGCGGUAAU
rnacentral:rRNA from 1 species